UCCAGACUCCUACGGGAGGCAGCAGUGGGGGAUAUUGCACAAUGGGGGAAACCCUGAUGCAGCGACGCCGCGUGGGUGAAGAAGCGCCUCGGCGCGUAAAGCCCUGUCAGCAGGGAAGAAAAUGACGGUACCUGAAGAAGAAGCCCCGGCUAACUACGUGCCAGCAGCCGCGGUAAUACGUAGGGGGCAAGCGUUAUCCGGAUUCACUGGGUGUAAAGGGAGCGUAGACGGCGACGCAAGUCUGGAGUGAAAGGCCGGGGCCCAACCCCGGGACUGCUCUGGAAACUGCGUCGCUGGAGUGCGGGAGGGGCAGGCGGAAUUCCUGGUGUAGCGGUGAAAUGCGUAGAUAUCAGGAGGAACACCGGCGGCGAAGGCGGCCUGCUGGACCGUGACUGACGUUGAGGCUCGAGAGCGUGGGGAGCAAACAGGAUUAGAUCCCCCAGUA
rnacentral:rRNA from 1 species